AGCAGCCGCGGUAAUUCCAGCUCCAAUAGCGUAUAUUAAAGUUGUUGCAGUUAAAAAGCUCGUAGUUGAAUUUCGGGGUUCUACCGUUGGUCGGGCUAACCAGUCUGUACUAGCGUGUAGAAUUCCUACCUUCUGGGGAACCAUCAUGUUAUUAAUUUAGCGUGGUGGGAAACCAGGACCUUUACCUUGAAAAAAUUAGAGUGUUCAAAGCAGGCUUACGUCUGAAUACAUAGCAUGGAAUAAUAAAAUAGGACGGUGGUCCUGUUUUGUUGGUUUCUGAAUCACCGUAAUGAUUAAUAGGGAUAGUUGGGGGCAUUAGUAUUCAAUUGUCAGAGGUGAAAUUCUUGGAUUUAUUGAAGACUAACUUCUGCGAAAGCAUUUGCCAAGGAUGUUUUCAUUAAUCAAGAACGAAAGUUAGGGGAUCGAAGACGAUCAGAUACCGUCGUAGUCUUAACCAUAAACUAUGCCGACUAGGGAUCGGACGAUGUUAAAUUUUAUUGACUCGUUCGGCGCCUUACGG
rnacentral:rRNA from 1 species